rnacentral:rRNA from 1 species
UACGUAGGGUGCGAGCGUUGUCCGGAAUUACUGGGCGUAAAGAGCUCGUAGGUGGUUUGUCGCGUUGUUCGUGAAAACCGGGGGCUUAACCCUCGGCGUGCGGGCGAUACGGGCAGACUUGAGUACUGCAGGGGAGACUGGAAUUCCUGGUGUAGCGGUGGAAUGCGCAGAUAUCAGGAGGAACACCGGUGGCGAAGGCGGGUCUCUGGGCCGAUACUGACGCUGAGGAGCGAAAGCCGUGGG